AGGAAACACAUUUCUACUGUUUAAGCCACUUGGCUGGGAGUACUUGGUUAUGGCAGCCUGAGCAGACUAAACCAGCACCUCAAAGAGUUGUUAUAGGGUAUGCUUAGUGGUAACUGGUUCCUAAAGGCCUUGCUUUCUAAGGCUGACUCCUCACCCUGCAAGGAUGCAUUCUCCCCACUGGCAGAUAUGCAACCAGGAACAGGCAUUAACACGCUUUAUUCCCAGAGUUUUAAUAUUUUCCAUUGCAUAAAAUAUUUGUUCAUGAAAAUGACAAAAUUGCUAUUAGAUUCUAUCACCACAUCUCUGUUGAUUUUACUUUCUGCAAACACAUACAAGUAAUGUAGGCAUACAGUUAAAAAUGAAACCUUAUCCUGUAGUUCCAGCUACUAGGGAGGCUGAAGCAAGAGAAUGGCAUGAACCUGGGAGGCGGAGCUUGUCGUGAGCCCAGAUCAGGCCACUACACUCCAGCCGGGGCAACAGAGCGCAACUCCGUCUCAAAACAAACAAACAAAACAAAACAAAAAAAACUUAUAGACAAGUACAAAAUGAGAAGAAAAAGUCCCUUUCCCUUCAUGCCUCUACUUCCUGCUGUAUUCUCAAAGGUAAGCACUGAUUACAGUUUACUUAUGGAUCUUUCCAGGAAAAUAUUUUAUGCAUUUAUCAGAAAAUGUAAGUAUAUGCAUCCUUUAAAAUUCUGCAUAAAUCAAACUCUGCAGGGUACUAUCUUCCCAUCCUCAUUUGAUAUUUUGUAGAUCUUUUCCUAUUGGCUGUACAGAUCACCUCAUUCUGUCUCCUGGGUCAUACAAUAUAGCUCACAUAAUUCUAAGUCUGAAGGUUGGUCCAAAUGGUUCCAAGAAUGCAGGUACCAAAAAGUAGUCUCUUGAAGAGGCCAUCAGAGACCUGGCUGUUUGUAUCUUCCUCCUCUGCCAUCCACAGUGUCAUCUUCACCCAAGGUGGCUGGAGAAGCUGUUAGGAAUAUGUGGUUUUUUAAAAAUUACAUUCAUAGGAAAAGGGGAGGGAAGAGAAGAAGAAAACCUCUCCCCCUAAGCUCAUGGCUCUUUUUAGUCAGGCUGAGCCAACUAAAGUCAUGUACUUCCCUUAGAUAGGUAACUGUUGCCAGGAAAAUGCCCUGUGUGGAUUGGCCUGGACUAAGCAGGAUCCUCCUCUAAAGAGAGAGAUGAGAUGAAUGCCUGACCCAAGUCUGGGAUCUUGGGUGGGAAGCGUGUGGAUAGUAGGUCAGAGGUCAGCAGUGUCUGUGGUGUAGGAUGUAAUCCCAUCUCCACAGAGCUGCAUACAAGUGUGUUUAAGUGUGUGCAAGUGAUUAACUUUGAUUAGUAGUUUCAACUCUUUACAAUGAACAUAUUUAUCUUUUUUAAAAAAUAAAGCCAUUUUAAAAGAUCUUGCCAUAAAACAAUCAUUCCUUAAGUCACCACUUAGGAUAGACCUAGAAUAUUUGUCCUUUCUCAAGAGCACCAGAGAGUUUUCUGGUAAUCCACGCAAUAAACAGUUAUAAAAGGUAAUUGUUGAGAUCAGGGGAAGAUGGCAGAUAGGAGGCAGUGCUAAUGUGUAGCUCCCACAUGGAUGGACAAAACACCAUGUGGAGACUCACACUGUGACCCUGUUGUGCUCCAAGAACUAUCAUAGGAACAUACUGGGAAAACCAAAAGAAUUCACGGAUCCUUUGAAAGAAGACGCACACCACUGUAAAUUCUGUGGAACAGGAGAAAAACUGUCUUGGAGGAAGGCAUCCUUCUAUUCUACUGAUCAGAAAGCUGGACAAAGUCCCACUGCCAGGCUACACAGUUGGUGCCAUUUGCGGAGGCCCACCCGCAGCGGUCACGUGAAGGACCGAGCGCCGCGCGCCCAGGCGGGGCCUCCGGCCUGCACGAGGAGGGCAGAGUCCGUUGCGGCUGCCGCCCCGACGCCCGCGCAUCCCCGCUCGCCGCGCCCGCCGCCGCGAUGUCCGGGGCCGGCCUAGCCGCGGUGGUGAGCUGCCUGCGCCCGCAGCCCGGCGAGGAGCCGCAGACCCAUGAGACGUUACUAUUUUUAUAACCACUAGACAACGCAGGUUGCCGCAUACUUCUUUAUUUGUGUAGACCUCGCUCUUGCCCUGUUUGAAGAGCCUGAGUUGCUUCCCCUGCCUUUCUUGGCCACCUCAAUAGCAGAAGUACUCUGCCUGACUGCAUACUUUGGCAGACUGGUACAUUUUGCAAAAGUCACUCCUCAAAUGGUUUUCUGGAAGGAUACAAAAGACAUCUGCACCAUGGUAACCACAGUGGCGAGUGUUCAUUGUAGUACCUGUAAGAGUUUAUGACCGAAGGCAGGAGCCAUGAAGAAAAAAGACUCAAUAGAUUUGCUUUUGAUGAAACAACAACACUUCCAUACAGUGAACGCCAUAAGCACAACUGCAAGCAAACCGCAAACUGAAGAACAAAUAGGGCAAAAUGUGGCAGUGCAGACAUUUCAGCAUAUCAAGAGCACUUCCAAAUUACAGGAAAAAAAAGAUAUCUCAAUAGAUAAUUUUGCUGAAGAUAAGUGAAGGCAACUCAUAAGGAAAAAAUAUGUAAAAUGGCCGAUAGGAAAGAUGUUUAACGUCACUAAUUAAAAAUUAUAGAAUAAAACGACAAUAAAAUACCAUGUGUUUGCCUAUAAAACAAUCUUAGCAAGAUUGAAAACAAACUUUUUGUAAUUUCAAUUUUUAGUUUAGAUUCAGGUGGUACAUGUGCAGGUUUGUUACAUGGGUAUAUUUCGUGAUGGUGAGGUUUGGGGUACAACUGAUCCCAUCACUCAGGUAGUGAGCCUAGAAUCCAGCAGGUAGUUUUUCAACCCUUCCCCUCCUCUGUCCCUUCCCCUCAGGAAUCCCCAGUGUCUACUGUUGCCAUCUUUGUGUCCAUGAGUACCCAGUGUUUAGCUCCUACUUAUAAGUGACA
rnacentral:lncRNA from 1 species